GUCCCUCUCCUCUUUCCCUCAUCCACACAGCCCCCUCCCGAUUCCCCACCACCGCCACCCACCACCUCUUCCCAUGGCUCCUCCCACAUCUCACCGCCGGCCCUCCCCCUCCCCUUCUCUCACAUCACAGCUCCGGCAGCUGUCAGAUCCGCUGCAUCCCCCACCCAUCCACUCCUCUCGCGACCCAACUCUCUGUCUCAUGCGACCCUCACGCCGCGACCAACACCAUCGAUUCCGGCGACGUCCACCAGCUCGCAGCACACAGACGAGCUAGUCUCCGACCCCUCCAUCCUCUGGUCCGGCUGGAUCCGCCACUUCUGGUCUCCGGCGCUCACCCACAACCCCUCGCCUAUGGCUAGGGUUUCGGCUGCGGCGUCACGUCCAUCACCGGCUCGUCUCCGGCGGCUCCUCCUCGUCGGACAUCGCGCCCUCUCCACCCCUGGGUGGCACCCCCUAGCUAGGUGCGCUCGCGCGCGUUGGUCUGUAUGGCAUUGACCACGACCUCCUUUGUCGCAUCUCCGGCGCGGCCAUGCAUCCCGUGCAUCAUGUGAUGGCCUCCUCUGUCGCGCGAUGGUGGUAGCCAACCUGCACUGUGGCCGCUACAUCGCCUACGAUCUUCUUCAUGCAUCUCCCACCUGAUCGACGCCGACGCCACGGUCCUCGAGCAGAAUAGGGUGAGCUUGAUACCCUUCCAUUCUUCAUGUGAAUUAUUCAGGCUGUAGACUUUGAGCUGUUCAAGGUGUGGAUUGUUGUGUGGUUCCAGUACAAUUAUAACUGUACAGAUAUUUUUGUGUGCAUAAAAUCUGCAUUGUACAAUGUCCCUGAUAUUAUGCAUUUUAUUGAUACUCUACUAGAGUUGCUAUCUCUUGUUGUUCAUGGGUUCUGAUUCUGCUUCUACAGAUUUUGAAUUUUUCAUGUAAUAACAAGUAUACCGCUUAGUACUCCACAAAUAAACUAUUAGUGUGGGAGAUCUCUCAGUGAAGCUGUAUCAUAUUCUUUGUUAAUAUUUUGCAUGCCAUUCGAAGUUCACUUGGCAAUCAAGUAUUGUUUAGUACUGUAUUUGUUGGCACUUUGAGAUGAACCUGCAGCAUAAGCAUCAAGUUAGAUGAAAAAUCCUCCGGUGCCGAUUUUGAUUUAAACAUUGAGUUAAUAUAGUCCACAACAUAACAUAUUUUGAUUUGAACUUAUCCUAUGCUUAUGCCUAGUUUGUGUUAAUUAUCUUGAAGUUAGUCUGUCACUUCUUUACUGACAUUCUUGUUUGUUAAGGAAUGGUGUGGUACAGUGUCUAUGCUGGCUGAAUUUUCUUUACAUAAUUUUCAGCUGGUCGCUUGUACAGAAACUUUGAUCCAGAAAAACCAAAACCAAGUACGUGUUCACGCACACACAGCUUCCUCUCACAAAAAAAAACUAAGUGCCUGUCUCUCUCACUUUUGUUCACAUUUCUUUUAGAGUGCAGAAAUGUUUGAUCCAGAUAAACUAAAUACCUGUACAGGCGCACAACUUCCUCUCACAACAAAACAAACCAAGUACUUGUCUGUAUCAUGUUUGUUUGCUUUCUUCUUUGAGAAAUCUCAUGUUUGUUUGCUAGGCCAUAAAAUAGAGAGCCUUUAGCCUAGUUAGCCCCAUGCACUUACUGUUUGUUUGGUCCAGAACCAAUGGCUGAACCAACUGCUGCUUCUACUACACUUUUAGUUCUGUGAUGUGUGUUUGUUACUCAUCACUUGUAGGCUAACUUGAUUAUACUUUCAUUCGACACACUUUUCUUUGGACUAAUUUUGCUUGUUUUCACGUGUGUUGCCCACAUUUACGUGGUACCUUAGUAUAGUAGUGGUGUGUCCACGGAUGAUUGCUUGGAAAAUCAACUAAUAUUAUUACUCUUUGGAUUCAUUUGGGAUCUUACUUUUAUAAUUUAUUAUAAUUUUGAUUGUCUUCUGAUUCUACACAGGUUUGGCAGUUAAUCCGUGUUACUGGAGAUUGAAGAUUUUUAGCAGGAUUUCUUGGGUCUGGUUAGCUGCCUACAAUCGUUGGUGUUGGAGAAAAAAAUUAGCUAGUAGUGCAUUUUCUUUAAAGUCAUGUAACUCACUCUUAAAAAAAUACUUAUAUGGCUUUCUAGAUAUGCUCAUGAUGUUUUGAUAUUAAGCUUUGCUUUUUCAAAUCAGAUUAGAUUGUUGGAAAUCGGUAUUGUCAUGUAAACAAUUGCUAUUUUUUAAGGAAUAUAUGAUUUGGUUGUCGUGUUGUAAA